rnacentral:rRNA from 1 species
UACGAAGGGGGCUAGCGUUGCUCGGAAUUACUGGGCGUAAAGAGCUCGUAGGCGGCCUGUUACGUCUGCUGUGAAAUCCCGGGGCUUAACCCCGGGCGUGCAGUGGAUACGGGCAGGCUGGAGGCAGGCAGGGGAGAACGGAAUUCCCGGUGUAGCGGUGAAAUGCGCAGAUAUCGGGAGGAACACCGGUGGCGAAGGCGGUUCUCUGGGCCUGUACUGACGCUGAGGAGCGAAAGCGUGGGGAGCGAACAGG